ACCUUCUCAUUCAAGGUUUUUUCUUAAUUUUUUAUUAUUUUCUACAUUGUAGAAUAAGAGUGAAGAUGUCAAAACUAUGACAUAACACAUAUGGAAUCAUGUAAUAGCCAAAAAAAGUGUAUAUUUUAUAUUUGAGAUUCUUCAAAGUAGCCACCCUUUGCCUUGAUGAAGCUGGCUGAGAGAAUGCCAUGCCAAGAGUGUACAAAGCUAUCAUCAAGGCAAAAUGCUAAAUUCUCCACCCCAGACAUCCUCACGUACUUUGUGCCCUCUCGGAUUUUUGGGCUGCAUGACGCCCCUGCUCAAAGCUGUAGGGGCUUGUAUCAGAAAACCAGUCAGUAUCUGGUAUGACCACCAUUUGCCUUAUGCAGAGCGACAGAUUACCUUCGCAUAGAGUUAAUCAGGCUGUUGAUUGUGGCCUGUGGAAUGUUGUCCCACUCCUCCUCAAUGGCUGUUCGAAGUUGCUGGAUUUUGGCGUGAACUGGAACACACUGUUGUACACAUCGAUCCAGAGCAUCCCAAACAUGCUCAAUGGGUGACAUGUCUGGUGAUUAUGCAGGCCAUGGAAGAACUGUGACAUUUUCAGCUUCCAGGAAUUGUGUACAGAUGUUUGACACAUGGGGCCAUGCAUUAUCAUGCUGAAACAUGAGGUGAUGGAGGCGGAUGAAUGGCACGACCAAUGGGCCUCAGGAUCUCGUCACGGUAUCUCUGUGCAUUCAAAUUGCCAUCAAUAAAAUGUAAUUGUGUUCCUUGUCCGUAGCUUAUGCCUGCUCAUACCAUAACCCCACCAUCACCAUUGGGCACUCUGUUCACAAUUUUGACAUCAGCAAACCGCUCGCCCACACGACGCCAUACACGUUGUCUGCCAUCUGCCCGGUACAGUUUAAACCGGGAUUAAUCCAUGAAGAGCACACUUCUCUAGCAUGCCAGUGGUCAUCAAAGGUGAGCAUUUGCUGACUGAAGUCGGUUACGACGCCGAACUGCAGUCAGGUCAAGACCCUGGUGAGGACGACGAGCACGCAGAUGAGAUUCCCUGAGACGGUUUCUGACAGUUUGUGCAGAAAUUCUUUAUUUGUGCAAACCCACAGUUUCAUCAACUGUCUGGGUGGCUGGUCUCAGAUGAUCCCGCAGGUGAAGAAGACGGAUGUGGAGGACCUGGACUGGUGUGGUUACAUAUGGUCUGCAGUUGUGAAGCCGGUUGGACGUACUGCCAAAUUCUCUAAAAUGACGUUGGAGGUGGCUUAUGGUAGAGAAAUUAACAUGAAUUACUCUGGCAACAGCUCUGGCGGACAUUCCUGCAGUCAGCAUGCCAAAUGCACACUCCCUCAAAACUUGAGGCAUCUGUGGCAUUGUGUUGUGUGACAAAACUUCACAUUUUACAGUUGCUUUAUAUUGCACCUGUGAUGAUCCUGUUGUUAAAUUAAUCAGCUUCUUGAUAUGUCACACCUGUCAGGUGGAUCUGGGAUGUUUUAUUUCAGCGCAUGAAACAUGGGACAAACACUUUACAUGUUUACUGUAUAUUUGACUACCUCGAGUAUUUGAAAAGUUUUCAAAUAAACUACAAAAUACAACUAUUUUCUGCCCAGGUCUGCACUACAUAGGUCAUCUGUGCCUGUCUGUCAACGCCCAGUGUAACUCCCUGUUCAUUAAUUUAAUGUUUUUUAUACAUGCUAUCUGCACCAGUUUGGUGUGUAUUGCUCAAGGUGACAACUGUAUAGGAACCAAUUAAGUUUUGGUUUUGUGUUCCAAGAUAGAUCGACUUUUGAAUUGAAAAUAGAAAAUUGUCGCAAGAUUUCUGAGAUACAGAGAGGAUGUUAAGAAAGUAAUUUGUUUUUAUAAAUUGAAUGUCCUUUCUGGAAUAUUUGCUGUUUUUAUUUGACUACAGUAGGAUACUAUGUCAAAUAUGACAUUCGUAUUGAAAAAGUAAUGUUUGAUACCGAGGAAUGACAGAUGUUACAGUUUAUAUUUUUUUGUAAGCAAAAAUGGUAUUGAUGCAAAAAAUACUUGUUUGUCACGCAUAUACAGUACACACAAAAACAAAUACUCACACACGGUCGCUCACACAAACAAGUCUUUUUUUUAUGUGAAUUUCACCCCUACUGAUGUAUAAUUGACACAGACAUCUAUGAAAAAUAAAUAUACAUUUGAUAUUAUGUUGACGUUUUUUUAAAGUAGUUAUUUGCCUCACACUUGAGGUCUAUUUCAUGUUGUCCUUUACCUCUAAUGUUAGAAUUGAUCUGAUUUGCCUCAAAUCAGAAAUCAGAAAAAAGUAACAUAAAAUAAUCACACCAUUGGGGGGCGCUACAGAGUCAACUUUGAUAGAGAAGUUUUACUACCUUUUACUACCUUGGAGAAUAACGCGACUACCUUCCUCAACGCGUGUGUGUGUGUGUGCCCGUGCGUGUGUGUGUUCCUUAACAUUAAGUGUGUGCUUUGAGAAAACGUCCUCUCCCUC
rnacentral:lncRNA from 1 species